CCAUCGAUAGCUUCUCCUCCCUCAAAACAGGAAAAAAAAUUCUCUAUUACCAAAGCUUCAAGAAAUCCCAGAGUGGGCUAUAGUGAACGUAAUCAAGUGAUUCCAAAGUCAAAGUUGCUUAGUUUUCUCCCAAGAGCAAAACCCACACCUUAUUUUCGGAGUUCAAGUGAGAUAUUCCCCAUUUACAGUUACGAAAAUUUGAUGGAUUCUUGGAUUUUGAGAGCAUUUCAGUUCAUUAGAGCUUAGGAACUUCUUCUCAUACCAUUCUAAGGUGAAUUGUGUGUUGUGUCUUGUGACUUGAUAGUUGAGGAACAUCCAUUGGGGCCAACCAUUGUUCAGGACUAGAGUUCUUGAGAGUUACCAAAGAGGGUUGCUUUGUGUGGUUGGUUAUGAUUGAGACUCUGACAGUAGAAAAUAGCAGUUAACGGAAGUCUACAAUAGGUUCAAUUCCGAUUCCAACGAUCAGGUUCUAGAGAGAAGCAGUAGUUAGAGUUUCAGAGAGAGCUCUGUUUCCAGCACUUCCAAUAAGUCUUCCUCUUCCUCACUCACAAACAAAGACGGUGAUUCAUCGGAGGAUGAUGAGAUCAGAUCACGAAGCGUAUCGUUCUCUGCAGUCGCUCGUUACCAUCAGAUGAAGUUCAAGAUUGUUGCUCUGAUCCAAUACUUUAACUUCUGACUUUGAUGCAAAUGCUGCAUUCUUCUGCAACACUCUUUCUUACCUAUGAUGAUGGGUUGUAUGAAAGGUGGUAGUGCAGAUGGGGAAAGCACCAUGUUUUGAUAAACAUGGAGUGAGGAGGGCAGCUUGGACUCCUGAAGAAGAUGAAGCAUUGGUUGAGUACAUUAAGAAGCAUGGCCAUGGAGGUUAGCGUACACUCCCCAAGCAAGCAGGUGCAAGUUCCUAUCCCCUUUCAUUCUUGUUCUUUUUCUUCUACGCAUCUGUAUUAUGCUUGUUUUCUUUCUUAGUUUUGAGCUUUUGGAACUUUUGAAGGUAGGGGAAAAUAGGGCUUACGGUAGAAAAUCUUGGUAGGUGUCUUUUAUUUUGAUAUUGCUUUGCUGCUGUAAUGUCUGAUCAAUUUUGUUGGCUCUCCUGCAUUUCCACUUUCCACCUCUCCAACACUCAUCAUGAUUGGGCUGUAAUUACAACAUCAUGGGGACACAUACAUCAAUUGUUGAGUGCUAACUGCUAGGUACUAAGUUCUAAUGCAUAAAAGAGACUUUCAAUUUCAAUCAUGAAUUGAUUGCUAAUAAAUAUAACUGAUGCAUUCUGUGGUAGUAUAGGUAUUUUAGUAGGGGUUAGUAUUAGUUUAGCAAUAACUCACUUCAUUCCCAUCUUAGCAAAAACAAGUUCGCAUUGGAAAGAUUUUCCUUGACCUUUGCCUCCCCAGAUACCACGGAUGCGAGGAACCUGUAAAAAUAAUGAAACAUGUUAAAUGUGUUUCCCUAUUUUAUAAAAGUCUUAGGAUAGUAUGUGUGGGAAUCGUAUAACUAAUUACAUGCCUUGAUGUUGGGCAGGGACAUGAAGUUCUUAGUGAUGUGAACAACGAGCUUGUCCAUAAAACUGAUUGUUUUACAAUCAUUUGUUCACAUAAUUAAUAAGUGGAUUCUGUUUUACAAUAUGCAUCUAUUAAAGCCCUCACUUUAUUGAUUAUAAAUUAUUAACAGGCCUUUUCAGUAUCAAUAGCAUCAAAAUUAUGGUCAUAAGGUUAAAGGAGGGUGGCUGCUCUUCCUCUUUGGUUUUAUUCUAACACCAAAAUUUAACUUAUAUAAAUUAGGUCUGCAACUAUUUACCAAAUUCCUCAACUACUCCAGCCAAAUUCCAUAUUAACCUCCCCUAUGUUGGAUUCCUUUUUUUAUUAAUAGUAUUUGAUUCUUUUUGGACUCUGCAUUACCUACGAGGGACAUAUAUCUCUAUUGGCAGACAGAUACAUCAUGACCAAUUCCAUUCAGGUAUUCCAUGCCUUGUCCAUUUAAUUGGUUCAGUUUGGAUUGUUAUAUUCAUGGGUCAAUUUGACAGAUGAACAUCCUUCCUUACCAUGAUGGGUAAGUUUAGCCCAUUCUGAUUUAAUUUUUGAGAUAAUUUUAAUUUAAUUUAUUUGAUUAUUUAUGGUUCAUAUAAAUAGGUGGUGGGCCCCUUCAAAAUUUGACCCUGUGAAGUCACCUAUGCUUUUCUUCAAGGCAGGCCAGCCGGUGAUCCCUCCAUUACUACCAGAUCGAGGCCUGGAUAUGGUUUUGGAGCACAUGGUUCAUUUACACCUUUCUUGGCCUUGGAGUUACGUUCUGUGUGAUCACUUGUUCCGGUCACAUUGCUGCUGAAACUGCUAAUGGUUGUUGCCUGUAUGGAUAAUUUGUUUGGAUAAUUUGUUUGGUUUUCGAAAUAAAUUAUUGUUGAUGAGAUUCAUUUUGGGAUAAGUAAAUUUUAAG